UUAUAUCUUUGGCACACUAAUCGAAAGAUUAGGUCGCAAAGCCUUGGAGUCUAACAGUCCACGUGACUUAUGAUCGUCCGGUUGCAUUU
rnacentral:ncRNA from 1 species